GUUAGUUAUAAAGAUAGCCAUUGUGUAACGUUAUCAUGCUACUUGUUAGAUCAAACGCAAACAUGAUGUCGUUUUAUUUAUGUAUGGUAACGUUACGAUGAUGCCUUGAUAGAAAUGCCACAUCUCAAGCAGUAAGCUUGUCUUUGCUGACAGGGAAAGCCCUGGUCACUGUGUAUAUAGGCUAACUGCAGCUAACGGGCAGGCUGUUUGUUGUUCGUGGAGAUUAACGUUACGUCCAACACAAGUUUGUGCCAAACAUUUCACUGAGCAGUGUUUUGUGCACCAUGAUGAGGCUGGAAAAACGUGCCUCCUGCCAGGAAGUGUCCUGUUCGCUUGGACAAAAACGACUCAUAAAAGACCAAUGCGAAUUAGAGGGAGAGAGCAAUGAACCUGCUGGAGAGACAGAAGAUGCAAGUGUAGACCUGGCUGGAGUUGACACUGGUGCAGACCAAGUUGUUAAGCCAGCACCCCACUCUGACCAUGACUAUGCUGAACUCUCGGUCACUGGAAGAGCAGCUAGAAGCAGCACGGAAG